ACGAAAAUGAUUCUCUUGUAACUGUGGACUGCGUCCCUUCAGAAUUCCAUGUUGCUACAGUUCUUUCUGGAUCCCCAGACAGGCAGGACCUGGAUCAGGAUAGAGAACAUUUCCAACACCUCUGAACGCUUCAUUGUGCCCCUUCCCCAUCGCUACUUGUCUCCCUCAAGGUCUCCACUGCGGAGAAACUUAUGCACCUGUACAAGGAGAUGGGUAAAAGGAUGUUGACUACAGCAGUGUUUGAAAAGUGAAGAAUUGGAAACAACCCAACAUUGCUCAGCAGGAGAAUGGAUAAAUGAAUUGCAGUAUCAUGACACAAGGAAAUAUGAUACAAGAUUAAAAUGAAUGAAAUAAGGUUACAAUGCAGCUACAUGGAAAAUGUGAAAACAAUUUAGAGGGAAGCAGCCACAUGCAGAAGGCUACAUACACAAGGAUUCUUUUUCUGUGAAG